rnacentral:rRNA from 1 species
GACGAACGCUGGCGGCGUGCUUAACACAUGCAAGUCGAACGGAAAGGCCCCUUUGGGGGUACUCGAGUGGCGAACGGGUGAGUAACACGUUAGUAACCUGCCCUUGACUUCGGGAUAACUUCAGGAAACUGGGGCUAAUACCGGAUAGGAAUCCUUGCUGCAUGGUGGGGGUUGGAAAGCUUCGGCGGUUUUGGAUGGACUCGCGGCUUAUCAGCUUGUUGGUGGGGUAGUGGCUUACCAAGGCUUUGACGGGUAGCCGGCCUGAGAGGGCGACCGGCCACAUUGGGACUGAGAUACGGCCCAGACGCCGACGGGAGGCAGCAGUGGGGAAUAUUGCACAAUGGGCGGAAGCCUGAUGCAGCAACGCCGCGUGCGGGAUGACGGACUUCGGGUUGUAAACCGCUUUCAGCAGGGGCGAAGCUUGUGGUGACGGUACCUGCAGAAGAAGCACCGGCUAACUACGUG